CAAGUAUAUUAUUUCAAAACUAUUAUUUAAAACGUCAGUUAACUAUUAAGUGAGAACUAUGCAAUAUUAGAAGAAAACAACCAGACUGUUGUAAUACUAGGAAUUGCAAUGGUUUCAGGUUUAAUUUUGUUUAUUUGUUUGUUCAUUGGAACACAGGUCAGUACAAGAUUUUUUUAUACCAAAUUAGUACAUAAUUUAAACGGAAGUUGACUGUUUAUCCGGAAAUUAUUACUUCCCUUUAACAAAAGUUCGGGAAAAACAGUCAACUUCCGGGCACGUAAAUUUGAAAUUAGUCAAAAUAGUUAAAAUCUUUUUAUUAUAUGCUGGAGAUGGACUAAAAAUGUUACGAACAAUACCAAUUUGAUAAAUAUCAACGAUGUGUGCGAUCUGACGGCAAAGAAGGCACGUUUUCCCAGAGAAAUCGUUGGGGAAUCCAGGUAGGUCAAUCUAUUUAUUUAUAGAUAGCAGAAAAAUGGCGUCGAGUUAGUUGCCUUUUUGUUUCUUAGUAUGGAUAGUAAAAUUGGGUAUUUUCUCUGGGUCGUUUAAGUCACUCGAAACUAGGUGAGAGAUACACAGAAGUGAUAGAUAUGUAUUAUAAAUAUAGAAAAUUGAAUAUUUUAAUAAAAAAGAAAUAAAAAAAUCUGUAUCCUAGACCCAAGCGCCUGUGGUCCUAAUGCGAGAAUUUAUCGGGUUAAUAAAAUCCAUAUCGGGUGAGGCGAAGCCAAACCCGAUAUGAAUUUUAUUACCCGAUAAAUUCCGUAUUAGGACAAUUGAACACUGUGUAACGAAUUUAUCCUGAUUUUGUUAUAUUACAUAUUAUUAUAUUCAAAUUCAAUAUUUGUACAAUAAUCAACCAAAUGUAUUUAAGAUAUUUAAUCUGAACCUGUUAAAAAUUUAAAAUAUUAGAACUAUAAAGCAAAUCUUUUUUUUUUAAUUUUUUAUUAGGUCAAUGGUAUAAGGGAGAUACUUCCAAUUGACGUAAUAAAUAAGGAAGAUAAUUCGUAUUGACGUAAUAAAAAAAUGUACUGAAAUUUAUUAGGACAAUAUAAGCCAAUCAAAUUGCGAGAAAUUACUCUAAAUCAGGAUAAUAUUAUAUAUCUCCCUAUCAAUACGACAUCUCAGAGCUUGUAUUUCGUAUCAUGAUUUGAUUGAUAGAAAAUUGCUCAUCACAAGGAAGUAAUCAAACUAAAAGCUCGAAGUUAGGAAGGUGAAAUCCCCUAUAAUAAAUGUUACAAACGGCGUCACGACUCGAGUUGGUUGACUGUUAUGAAAUUUCUGAUAAGAACGAUAUGUUCAUAUUAUAAUAAAUACAAUACCGUCAAUAUUUCACCGAAUCUGACAUACCGAAUUGAAUACAUCAACUGCAUCGGACUUAUUUGAGCAACAUGACGGGUGCAACACAUUGAGAAGUAUCUGCUUUUCCUUCUAGAUCACCUUAAAUCACCCAAUAGUAUUACUAACAAUAAUAUUAUUUCAAUAUGAUUUAGUCUUUUGUUUGUUCGUUCCCCUCUUUAAUCAUAUAGUAUAUAAUUAUAUGUUAUCAUCACCAGUGUGAGUAAUUCUGUUUGUGAAGAUGAUUUUUAAUUAUUAUUACAGCAAAGUCAUGUUACUUUGAUAUGUCCAGCAUUUCCAGGUCCUAUUGAUCCAGAUGUUUGUUCGCCAGAAACCCAUCAACCCAAUUGCCAGACAGAUGCAGACUGUACAGGCG
rnacentral:lncRNA from 1 species